CAGCCACAUAAUUUCAGCUACUGAGUAUUAUUAUUUGCAAGACUUCUUACACGAGUCUUUCAGUUGACCCACCUACCUGAAAUGUUCUCCCAGUUUUCCAAAGAUUGAGUGAACUUUAACUACAAUACAAAAAACCCCAGUUGCCUACAACUAAUUUCCACUGUGAUCCUUCAAGAUUUCCAUAAAAAAGUGAACUUUAAGCAGAAUAUCAAAACCCCAGUUGCCUAUCAGCAAGUUCAGUUGUGAUCUUUCAUGAUUUCCAUAAAAGAGUGAGCUUUAACGAGAAUGCAAAAAAUCCCUGUUGCCAAAAAGCAAUUUUUACUGUGAUUUUUCAAGAUUUAGCUAUGAAGAAAGGAUCUUUAGCUCCU
rnacentral:lncRNA from 1 species